rnacentral:rRNA from 1 species
AGAGUUUGAUCAUGGCUCAGGAUGAACGCUAGCGGCAGGCCUAACACAUGCAAGUCGAGGGGUAAUUCCGAUUUAUCGGGAACGACCGGCGCACGGGUGAGUAACACGUAUGCAACCUACCUUAAACAGGAGGAUAGCUUCGAGAAAUCGAAAUUAAUACUUCAUAAAAUUAUAUAUUGGCAUCAAUAUAUACUAAAAGCAUAAGCGGUUUAAGAUGGGCAUGCGUAACAUUAGUUAGUUGGUGAGGUAACGGCUCACCAAGACUAUGAUGUUUAUGGGGUCUAAAAGGAUGGUCCCACACACUGGUACUGAGACACGGACCAGACUCCUACGGGAGGCAGCAGUGAGGAAUAUUGGGCAAUGGGCGCAAGCCUGACCCAGCCAUGCCGCGUGCAGGAUGACUGCCCUAUGGGUUGUAAACUGCU